rnacentral:lncRNA from 1 species
UUAAAACAUGAGAUGUUAGAUCCAAGGACAAUAGAAUGUCAGGGCCAAAAGGGAGCUUAGGACGUGGAAUAUUACAACAUAGAACAGAAUGUCAAAGACAGAAGGGACUUUAGAACAUGGAAUGUUAUAUCUUAAUUUCUUAUCUUGGCUCAACCAGAUACUCCAGACAAAGAGGAUAUAGAUCUUUAUAUUCAUCCUCGUGGUUUUUGCAUGUUUUUCUAGACCAGAAGUCCUUAAAAUGUGAUUUGGAGACCCAAGGACCUUUGAGGCUCAAGUCCUUUCGUGUUGGCCAAUCAUUCAGUCACAUCCGACUCUUUGUGACUCUCAUGGACCAAAGCAUCAAUGAUACCAUCUGUACGUCAGAGAGGAAGAAGGCUCAGCAAAGAAGAUGUUGCUGUUGUUCAUCCUUCAUUUCCAGAGGACCAGUGACAUCAUGGUGUGAGUAGUAAUAUUUUGACUUGUGUAUGAUUUGAAUUUAAAUGAGGUAGAGUUGCACAAAGUCAACAGUCUAACUCUGCCCUUCCAGAAUCGCCAGACUGGCAAUGACCUGGGAUGCAGUGGAUGGUCUUGCUAUCUUUGAUAUCUGCCAUUGGGACAAAUUAUUCUAAUCUGCCCAUUUCAUGGGGUGGAAAGAGUGGGAGGAAACAUCUUCACAUACUUAGGGUAGACAAACUCACCAAUGAUUUUGAGGCCAGUCUGUUACCCUCAA